GAUGAACGCUGGCGGCGUGCCUAAUACAUGCAAGUCGAGCGAAUGGAUUAAGAGCUUGCUCUUAUGAAGUUAGCGGCGGACGGGUGAGUAACACGUGGGUAACCUGCCCAUAAGACUGGGAUAACUCCGGGAAACCGGGGCUAAUACCGGAUAAUAUUUUGAACUGCAUGGUUCAAAAUUGAAAGGCGGCUUCGGCUGUCACUUAUGGAUAGACCCGCGUCGCAUUAGCUAGUUGGUGAGGUAACGGCUCACCAAGGCAACGAUGCGUAGCCGACCUAGGAGGGUGGUCGACAACACGGGGACUUAGACACGGCCAAGACGCGUACGGGAGGCAGCAGUAGGGAAUCUUCCGCAAUGGACGAAAGACUGACGGAGCAACGCCGCGUGAGUGAUGAAGGCUUUCGGGUCGUAAAACUCUGUUGUUAGGGAAGAACGAGUGCUAGUUGAAUAAGCUGGCACCUUGACGGUACCUAACCAGAAAGCCACGGCUAACUACGUGCCAGCAGCCGCCGUAA
rnacentral:rRNA from 1 species